UACGAGGGGGGCGAGCGUUGUUCGGAAUUAUUGGGCGUAAAGGGCGCGUAGGCGGUCGGAUAAGUCUUGUGUGAAAUCUUCGGGCUCAACUCGAAGUCUGCACAGGAAACUAUCUGGCUUGAGUGUGGGAGAGGUGAGUGGAAUUCCUGGUGUAGCGGUGAAAUGCGUAGAUAUCAGGAGGAACACCGAUGGCGAAGGCAGAUCUCUGGGCCGUAACUGACGCUGAGGAGCGAAAGCGUGGGGAGCGAACAGG
rnacentral:rRNA from 1 species